rnacentral:rRNA from 1 species
CCUACGGGAGGCAGCAGUGAGGAAUAUUGGUCAAUGGACGAGAGUCUGAACCAGCCAAGUAGCGUGAAGGAUGACUGCCCUAUGGGUUGUAAACUUCUUUUAUAUGGGAAUAAAAUGGUCCACGUGUGGGCUUUUGUAUGUACCAUAUGAAUAAGGAUCGGCUAACUCCGUGCCAGCAGCCGCGGUAAUACGGAGGAUCCGAGCGUUAUCCGGAUUUAUUGGGUUUAAAGGGAGCGUAGGUGGAUUGUUAAGUCAGUUGUGAAAGUUUGCGGCUCAACCGUAAAAUUGCAGUUGAAACUGGCAGUCUUGAGUACAGUAGAGGUGGGCGGAAUUCGUGGUGUAGCGGUGAAAUGCUUAGAUAUCACGAAGAACUCCGAUUGCGAAGGCAGCUCACUGGACUGCAACUGACACUGAGGCUCGAAAGUGUGGGUAUCAAACAGGAUUAGAUACCCGUGUAGUC